GAGUCUUAUUUCUCAAUUUAAUUUGACAUUGAGAAAAGGAGUUACAAAAUUUCUCAUCACUUUUUGAACUGAAUAAAAAAUCUUAUUCUUUGACUUUGAAUUAAUAUUGAUCAGAUAUUUAAACAUAACCCAAAAUAAAAAAUAAAGAUUAUUGGACCGAUGUCCAUAUACCCGAAUCCACACUCAAAACUGAACCUAAGCCAGAGUCCAUAUUAGCUCGGCUUGGCGCGCGCAUAGUUUAGUUUGGGUUCAGUCUUUCUACAAUUGUCCCAAGGUUUCUACUUUUUCGGGCAACUCAACAAUUCGUCAUUUCCAUUUUGUGCAUGUCAAACAACAAACAUAGACCAAGCAUUUCUCAUUCAAACAAACUCUAAUUUAUCAUAAAGUUGCCCGAUAAAGUUGCCUGAAAAAAUAUCGGCGCAUUAUGUCUUAAAACUGAGUUCCAGCAGAUAUAUAUUUAUUUUGAGCAACCCUUUUAUGUGCGCUUGUACAUGAUGCCACUGAACUUUUGAACACAAUUCAACUAACUUAUGUCAUCAUGGUCGUUUAGCGGAGAGAGAUCUUGAACAAGUUUGUGAUUAUGCAAAACAUGAUCUAGGUUAAUAAGGAAGAUUAACACAUCCCUUGUGGAGAGAAAAUAACAUUGUAUACAAAGUAGACAUCACACGCUUAAGUGAUGCACUGCACAUACACCUACAAAGUGGCAUUGACUGUAUACAUCUGCAGCAUUUUGUAAUUCACGCGUCAAGUGAUUUUCAUGACAAAAAUGUUUGAUAAAAUCAGAUCAUACCUUGGCGCAACACUUUCACUAUCAUCUCGUUUUUCGAACUCCCCUUCAAGUUCCCUCAUUCAACACUCGUGGAAAAUUCGUUUUAACCAGAAAACUUGAAUCUGGCGAAAAAAUUCAAUUUUAUGUUUUAGCAGAAAAACUCAAUUUUCAUUUUUGAUGGGAAAACUUGUUUUGUCGGAAAAAAAAAACAUUUUGCUGUUUUUUGGGAAAAAAAUUGGUUUCAUAUAAUCGUAAUUUUUAAAUAUUUAUUUAAAUAUUAUUGGUGUGAAACAAAAUCAAUGAGUUAAAAACUCAAUCUACAAAGCUCAUGAGCUAAUUAUGUUUAACCAUAUUUGAGCUUUGUCUCAAAAGGAAGGGUUAUGACUAAAAAAUUUGAUACAUGGUUUGGGCUAACCCUGUUAGGUUGCCUCAUUUUAGUUUUUGGGUGCUUUCAAGUUCCAUUUCUUUAUACUACUACAUUUUGUAUAUGGUCGAUCUCACAUUUGGAGUUGUGAUGAAUAUAAGAAACAAAGAGAAAUGUUAGAGGAGACUCCAACAACAAUGUCGUAAGAGUUUUCAAAAGAGUGUUCAUCCAAAGUACAGAUGCAAAUCAAUCUUAUGUACUCAAUUCUUUGAGUUUAUAAACUCUUAUAAAUCUUAUUUGAUUUAUAAACCCUUAUAAAAAGUUAUGAGAUAAUUAUGUUUCUUCUUGUCACAAUUUAACCAAUUGUAGUUUGAUAGAGGCUUGCCUAAGCAAUCUCCUAAGACAGAAUUUCGCCCCUACAAUGGUGUGUGUAGUUACGUAGGCAUCUAUCUUGAGGAUACAACUAUCAAUCUCCGUACAACACACCCUUACCGAAACCCUAGCAAACUUUACUUUAAGUUUUCCUUCAGAAACUUGUUAUGGGAAAGAAGAAGAUUAAAUCCACUUGAUUCUCAGAAAUCUUAUAUCUUCUUCUCUUUCUUUCUCCUAUUGCACUUGAUCACUUUAUAUAAUGACUCAAGUGGUGCCUUUAAUCAACGCAUACGUUAACUCAAGCGAUGCCUUUUAAUCAACACAUAUGUUGACUCAUAACCGAUACGUUUUGUCUGAAAUGUUGCUUCCUUUAAUUAAUUAAAGUCCAACAAUACCCCCACAAUUUCUAUUCAAACUCAACAAUACCCCACAUUUGAAUAGAAAAUAAAUUCAAAUAUUUCUGAGAAAGUAGAAUCAAUAUGCAUCAAAAAAUGUGUCUUUUGGAAUUGAACAUUUCCUAGUAACAACUUAUCGGAUUUACUUUGUGGGUAAUGAACUACAGUCUUGAAUUAACCACAUUUUAUAGUAAACCAAGACAAUAAGUGAAACACAUAUCUUAUCAGCUAAUUUCUAGUUUAUACGGUUGUGUUCAUUUUGGUCCUGAACAUAUCCUGACUUUGUGAGAGCUCUAGAGAAUUUAGCCAUAUCAAUUCUCAUAGGUGCGACCCGACACCACUCCCAUAUAGGUAACGUUAGUUAAAGAUAGUCCACUCUAUCUCUAUUCUACAAAAGAUACUAACAUUUUUAAGAAUAAAUUAUUAAUCUCCAAUAUAGGUACCGUUAGUUAAUAUUUCAUAGGAAUGAGAAAUGUGUAAAACGUCUUGAGUCUUCCCCAACUAGUUUGGCUAUUGAACCUAGACCAUGUAAUCUCCAAUGUUGCUAGGUUAGGUUUCCAUCAAGUGAUGACUCAUUAUGUUGGCUUGAGACUCAUUCCCAUCGAAAUGAAAACAACUUUCUUUUUAGAUAGGCUUUUGGUCAAAGUAUCAACCAAGUUAUCCUUUGAUCUAAUGUAAUCCAAUGCUAUCACCCCAUUGGAAAGCAAUUUUCAUGCAUGUCCACGUCUAUACGUCUUGACUUGCCAUUGUAAUUAUUUUUUCUUUUACCAAUAAUGAGAAUGAGUAAGUGAAUAACGUACCAUCUGACUCUUGUUUAACUCUAAUUUCAAGAAUUAUAACAGCCAAUCUCAUAUCUUUCAUGAACAAUGACUCAUUAGAAUUUCUUCCACUGGUUUCACCACAGAAACAGUGUCACUUAUCGUAAAGUUUAAGAAUUUUCCCACAAUGAAUGUCUUAACGCUUGCAACUUCAGACUUGUAUUUCUUCUCUAAUGAUCCCUACAACUAUUUUGAAGUUUGGAAUAUAUGACAAACAUCGUAGAGAGAAUUGUCCAAAGUGUUAAGAAUAUAUAUUUAUUGCACAAAAAAUCGUUGUGCGUCCAUGCCUCUGAAGCUUUAACGAUUUCAUCAGGAAUAUUACCUUCUACAGGUAACUCUGGUCCUUCAGAAGUCAAGCACUGUGCCAGAUUCAGUGUCGAGAUAAAACAACAUCUUUUGUUGCCAGCUUUUGAAAUCCACUCCUCGGAAAACAAAAGGUUUCUCUAUAUGACAUUUCACAAUUGCAGUAGAUUGAUCCAUCUUGCUUUCUUUGAAAAGAACAAAGGAAAUUUCUAUCUUAGAUUGUUAUUUAAAGCACAUAUGCAAUCAAUCUUACAUACUCCAUACGUUUGAGUUUAUAAACUCUUAUAAAUCUUACUUGAUUUAUAAACCCUUAUAAAAAGUUACGAGAUGAUUAUGUUUCUUCUUCACAACUUAACCAUUUGUGGUUUGAUAGAGGCUUGCCUAAGCAAUCUCCUAAGACAGAAUUGCUACCCUACAAUGGUGUGUGUAGUUACGUAGGCGUCUAUCUUGAGGAUACAACUAUCGAUCUCCGAAACCCUAGCAAACUUUACUUUGAAUUUUCCUUCAGAAACUUGUUAUGAAAAAAAAGAAGAUUAAAUCCAAUUGAUUUUCAGCAAUUUUCUCUCUUCUCUCCUUCUUCUCUUUCUUUCUCGUAUUGCACUUGAUCACUUUAUAUAAUGACUCAAGUGGUGCAUUUAAUCAAUGCAUACAUUAACCCAAGCGAUGCCUUUUAAUCAACACAUAUGUUGACUCAUAACCAUCACGUUUUGUCUGAAAUGUUGCUUUCUUUAAUUAAUUAAAGUCAAACAAAGAGGAGAAGAGUCUUCAAAAGCAAGAUCAUCAAUAGAGAAGAGGAGUCUUCAAAAAUAAUAUAUUUGGUGUACGUUGGGAUCGAGCUGAGAAUAGGGAUCAUCAGUUCCUUUUGGAAUCAUGCUGAGAAAUGACUUUGGUUGUGCUCAAAGUGUCAUCGGAAGAUUAUAUUAGCUACGGUUAUCGAUCAUAGUAUUUAGCAUUAAGAUUUUUUUAGUUUUAAUUCUAAUGUGUGUUCUUUAAAAAAUAUUCUUGUUGGAUUUUACAGAAUUUGUAUCAGUCUCAUUUUUGUUAAUAAACAUUUAAAUUUUAUCAAAAAAGAAACAAAGAAAAACAAAUGUUAAAGAAUUGAUUAAACAACAAUUACAAGAAUCAGUGAUCUCCAUUACUUGUAAUAUAGUUCUUCGUUUAAUAUUAAGUUUCGUUGUAGACUUUAAAGAUAUGUUUUAUUAUAAAUGUCGUUUUAUAUUUUCAAUGCAUAUGUUUAAUAGUUUUUCCACGUUUAUCCAUAUUUUUAUUUCAUUAAUUAACAAAAAUAAAAUAAACAAUGUAUUAAUUAGGAGUACUAAAAAAUUUAAUACUAUUUUUAAUGUGUUAAGAAACAUUAAACAACAUAUAAAAUGAAACUGAUGAAAUAUUAUUAUUUUCCCUUAAAUGAGAUCAAGAUGAAUGUCCACAUUCAAUAAUUGCAAUGAAUGAAUGCUCAAACGGUCAAACCUUAGAGCAUGUUUAUCAGUGUGUCUUAGGGGGGUUGUUUAGCUAAAUAGGCAAUUAAAACAAAAGGAAAAAAGACAAUUAAGCAAAGCACGUCUCCUAAUUUGGGUCUUGAAGGCACGUUGCUUAGGGGGUACAUGGCACAAUCAGAUUGGGUGGAGGAGCGGUCCGUCUCAUUUCUUCUUUCUUUCUCUCUUUUUGUUUUUCGUUUAUCUUCUCUCGGUGGCGAAACCGUGAAUCCUCGACACCUCGACGACUCCUCGACGAAACGGCGAGGCCUCUUUCGGUGGCUCUCGGCGAGGAAGGAAAACAACGCACUGUCUAUCGGUGGCUCCCCUCCAACAAGGAAAACGGCGACAUAUCUCUCUCUAUCGGUGUCUCUUUGAGGCGUCAUCUCUCUCUAUCGGUGGCUGAUUGCGGCGAAGAUAAACGGCGACUGUUGCGGCUUUGGCGAAUCGAUAGGGAAGUUUCUGUGGCAGAGGAUUACGAAGCUGGUGGAGGUUUGGUUGAUCAUGAAGAUAAUGAUGGUUGCGUUGCUACUCAUGGAAGGUCUAAAGGUUGUUUGAUGAAGAUGGUCUUAAGGUUGUUUGAUCAUAGUGAGACAAAGGCCUACGAUCGUUGACACAGGCUGCUUAUAUCUUUGGAGCAAAGAAGACAGAGGUCACGGGUUGUAAAAGCUAGAAGACAGAGGUCACGGGUUGUUGUUGUUUGUUGUCAUUGUAAAGGCUAGAAGACAAAGUUAUAAGUCACGGGGAUGAGAGUGUGUAAAGUACACGGGUUGUUGUUGUUUGUUUGCUUGUUUCAAUUUUGCAUCAUACACACGAUUAUAAAUUGGUUUGUAACCAAGAAUCUCAAACAAUUAUAUCUCUUCUUUCUAUCUUUAAGAAAUCUAAACUCUCAAACUCUCAAACUUUCUAUCUUCUUUCAUUUUAUAUCGUAACCAAAACUCUCAAACUCUCAAACUUUCAUUUUAUAUCGUAACCAAGAAUCUCAAACAAAUCAAUCUGUUCUUUCUUCUCCUAACCAAAACAAAAACAAUUUUCUAUCUUGUAACCAAAACUCCACAACUCUCAAACUAAAACAAUCAUCUCAUGGCAUCUUCAUCUGAAAACCCUUUCGAGGAUUUUUUUGAUGAAACUUUCGAUCAAUAUUUUGAUCAACGUUUCGAUCAAGCAUUUGAAAAUUUGUGCAAUACUCAUGAUCAUCAAGAAGACCAAAGGAGAACAAGAAAAAAAACAGGAAUUUAUUGAAAGAAACCGUGAAGAAAGCAAUCUUCGGUUAUGGAAUGAUUAUUUCAGUGACGCUCCUACAUAUCCUGAAAUCUAUUCCACCGACGAUUUAGAAUGAACAAGCCAUUGUUCAUGUGUAUUGUUGAUCGCCUCUCCAAUGAAGUUCAAUUCUUUCGUCAAAAGCAAUACUUACCGGAAGACUUGGUCUCUCUAUACUUCAAAAGUGUACAGCAGCUAUUCGUGUGUUGGCAUAUGGUUUUGCGCUUGAUGCGAUCGACGAAUACCUCCGGUUCGGUGCAACCACUGCUCGGUUAUGUGUGGAAAAUUUCGUGGAAGCAAUAAUAAAUUUGUUCGGCGAUGAGUACCUAAGAAGACCAACACCGGCUGAUCUUCAGCGUCUACUUCAUAUUGGAGAGCUUCGUGGAUUUCCCGAGAUGAUAGGAAGCAUCGAUUGUAUGCAUUGGGAGUGGAAGAAUUGUCCGAUCGCUUGGAAAGGCCAAUAUUCUCGUGGUUCGGGAAAACCCACAAUUGUUUUAGAGGCGGUUGUUUCAUAUGAUCUCUGGAUAUGACAUGCGUUUUUGUGACCUCCAGGCACCUUAAAUGAUAUUAAUGUUCUUGACCGCUCACCUGUUUUUGAUGACAUAAUAAAUGGUCGAGCCCCGCAAGUGAAUUUAUCGGUCAACGGAACAGAGUACCAUUUGACUUACUAUCUCACCGAUGGUGUUUAUCCAUUAUGGACAACUUUUAUCCAAUCUAUUCCAAUUCCCCAAGGGCCGAAAGCAGUUUUAAUUGCGGAACGUAAAGAAGCUGUCCGAAAAGAUGUCGAGCUUGCUUUCGGAGUUUUGCAAGCUCGAUUUGCCAUUGUCAAAAAUCCCGCCCUUUCUUGGGAUAAAUUCAAGAUUGGAAAGAUUAUGAAAGCAUGUAUCAUACUCCAUAAUAUGAUAGUAGAUGACGAAAGAGAUGAAUACACUCAAUAAUAUAUAUCUCAGAUUUCCAACAAGGAGAAGGGAGCGGAAGUUCACAUGUCGAUCCCACCUAUUCUACAGAUAUCCCAACUAAUAUCACCAAUCAGAUUGGUGUUCGAACAAGAAUUCGUGAUAGACAAGCGUAUCAGCAACUGAAAAGUGAUUUGGUUGAACAUAUAUGGCGUAAAUUUGGAAGUGAUCAAGACAACAACUGAGCUUCGAUGCCUCUUUGAAAUUGUUAUCGCUUAUUUUACUAAUAUUUAUUUUUACGUUUUCAUGUUUCUAUUUUAAAAGCUAUGUUUAAAAUGUUAUGUUUGACUUUGUUUUAUUUAAUAAAUAAAUUUAAUCAUUGUUUAAUAUUUU